AUUGAACGCUGGCGGCAUGCCUUACACAUGCAAGUCGAACGGUAGAGUAGCAAUACUUGAGAGUGGCGAACGGGUGAGUAAUAUAUCGGAACGUGCCCAGUCGUGGGGGGAUAACGUAGCGAAAGCUACGCUAAUACCGCAUACGAUCUACGGAUGAAAGCGGGGGAUCGCAAGACCUCGCGCGAUUGGAGCGGCCGAUAUCAGAUUAGGUAGUUGGUGAGGUAAAGGCUCACCAAGCCGACGAUCUGUAGCUGGUCUGAGAGGACGACCAGCCACACUGGGACUGAGACACGGCCCAGACUCUACGGGAGGCAGCAGUGGGGAAUAUUGGACAAUGGGCGAAGCCUGAUCCAGCAAUGCCGCGUGAGUGA
rnacentral:rRNA from 1 species